CGAGACUCAUCAUGCAGAACUUAAACGCCAACCAUCGUACGUUAACCUGGAACAACUGGAUGAAGUGGAGGAGUUUCCUGAUAUUUCCAAGUACAUUGAUUCCUGGGACGUUGAUCCUCCAGAACAAUGGUCAGAUGACAAUGCAAGCCAUGGUCCAGAGAAGACCUCCGAUAAGCCUCAACUGAAGACAUCUGAUAAAUUUCAAGAUAAGACAUCUUAUGAGGCCCAAGCGAAGACGUCCGAUAAGCAUCACGUUACAACCAAAGCU